rnacentral:tRNA from 1 species
GGACCUGUAGCUCAGCUGGAUAGAGCGCCCUUCUCGCAAAGGGGUGGUCGCGGGUUCGAAUCCCGCCAGGUAUUG